GUCACUGCGAGGCGGGCUGGGCCUGAAGACGUCAGGUGAAGUAAGACUCACGCUAGAAUCUGCAGAACUUGGUCUUGGCACUGGAGAGCAGGACAGUGGCGAGCAGAGGCUGAGAGGCGAGUCUUAGUAGCCCAGACGCCGCAGUGAAGGCCAUAGGAAAGUGUGGAUGGACACGCACUCCAUGGAAACCUGGCCUUGAAACGCACCGCGCUUCUCAGGCAGCGUCCACCUCACGCUGACUUCGCGCUUCACCUUGAGGCCUGCGUCUGUUUCUGUUGUAAGGAGGCAUUGCCAUGGAGCCACCGUCAGGGAACGCUGAGAAGAGCCGUUCAACCGAGUCACGACGUCAUUCCCGGAGCCCAGAGCCCGAGUGAGGGAAGCAUGUGGAGCCAGGUCGGGUGGACGGCAUUGGCCGCCAGCAGGAACCAAGCAGGGUGAGAAGCGAGGAGAGGCCAGAGUGGGCAUCCUCGCGAUCCCAGAAGGAUUUCACCGUGGGAGGCUGGGACGACCCCAGGCAAGUCAGGGGCCGUGUUUGCGCCUCGUGCGGAGGUGCCGGAAGCUACGCCUUCUCACAUGUCUCACAGAGAGCCCGGCAGCUGCGGAUCGGCAGUAGUGGGAGCCGUGUCCAUUGCUCUCCGACACGACACGGGCGGCAAGGAAGGAGGAGGAAGAGGGAACUCAGCGAGCGGUCUCGGGCCGGCCGAGGGCACCUGGAGCGUGGCAGGGGGAGCGGAGAGGGGCUGCGGGGCGCUCGCUCGUCUGCAGCUGGCUGGGGAAGACUGCUGAUCCCGGAAGCUUGGCCCGCACCCCACCCGAAGAAAGACUGCUAGGCCGGGAGGAAGGAGGACGAGGACGGUGAUGCUGCCCGGUCCUGCUCUCCCCGAGGUGGUUGGAAGGAGGGGUGAGGUAAGUGCCAGGCUCCGCCGCUCCAGUCAGGGACCUGAGACCGAGGUGUAAUCCCGAGCCAUGGCUGGCUUCGGAACACGGAGUGGGGACCGCAGAGCUGCUCCACAACGCCUCUGCAGCCGAGCCAGCUGUGUCCCAGAGACUCCAGCUCUGCCACGGUCCGCACGCACGCGCCUCCCCGCUCCACUGGCCAGGCAGGCAGUGCGAGUCUGCGCCUCCUCUCAGGGACGUCGCACGGCCUCUCGCCAGGGCCCAGCCCCUCCUCGGCCUUGUCGUGG
rnacentral:lncRNA from 1 species